GACUUCCUGAGCUCCACCUAAUAUUUGGCUGUGGGACUGCAUCUGUUCCCAUCAGUUGCUAGAUGAAUUCUCUCUUGUCUUUUUGAUGAUUCUGCUGGUCUAUGGUUCCAGAACACACUAAAGACAGGACAAACUAUGGGUCAGAGUUAAUUUCGGAUGGAAUCAAGUUGACAAUUAAAAAUAGGCAUCACAGACAAUAUCUCUGACAUUUAUUCUGGAAAUCUACAUGAACAUGUCCUCAUCCAACCUGCAACAUGUAUUCAAAGUCUUAUGACUUUUCAAACAUCUGAAAUGAUAAGACCACAGACAGAAGUACAAUGCCUAUCAUCCUAAGUAAGGGCUAGAGAGAACCAAGAGACAUGGAAGUGGGAUCAGUUAAGGUGUUUCCCUGAUGGAUAACUGUCCAUUGUUCUUCUAAGUAGGAGGAUGCUGAACAUCUCUGAAUAUAAACAUGGAAACCUUCCAUAACAUCUGCUGCUAAUUUCUGCCAGCUGAAAAGUGAUAAUGAUGAUGAAUACUUUUGUUGAUGAUGUGGCUACAUUGGCCUAACUAAAUUAACUUGCAGACUCAGGGCAUCUAAUUGAAAACACAAGACUUGCGGUAUCACCUGGUCGGCUUUAUGUGUAGUUAUGUAUUUAAUUGUUCCAAUAGGAUUAACUUUAAAAAGCUAAAAGGAUAAAAUAAGUGAGAAGUUUGGUAGAAUGU